rnacentral:rRNA from 1 species
GACGAACGCUGGCGGCGUGCUUAACACAUGCAAGUCGAGCGGAAAGGCCCUUUCGGGGGUACUCGAGCGGCGAACGGGUGAGUAACACGUGAGUAAUCUGCCCCUGGCUUUGGGAUAGCCACCGGAAACGGUGAUUAAUACCGGAUAUGACCACUUUGCGCAUGCGUUGUGGUGGAAAGUUUUUCGGCCAGGGAUGAGCUCGCGGCCUAUCAGCUUGAUGGUGAGGUAAUGGCUCACCAUGGCUUCGACGGGUAGCCGGCCUGAGAGGGUGACCGGCCACACUGGGACUGAGACACGGCCCAGACUCCUACGGGAGGCAGCGGUGAGUAAUAUUGGACAAUGGGCGGAAGCCUGAUCCAGCAACGCCGCGUGAGGGAUGACGGCCUUCGGGUUGUAAACCUCUUUCAGUACCGACGAAGCGCAAGUGACGGUAGGUACAGAAGAAGCACCGGCCAACUACGUGCCAGCCGCCGCAGUAAUAC